AUCUCAGUACAGUGUCCAAUACAAAUUCCGUUUUGUAUCCAUAUGCUCAGACCAAAUAAUCACAUUAUUAUCUUUUUGACAGCCUUUGUGGUAACAUGGUAUCUUGAUGUAUCCUUUAAAAUAAUCAUGAAUAAUAUUUAAACAUUAGAAGUUUGCCCUUUCAACUAAAGAGGAUAUUUUUAUUGUGGUUAUCAUUAGUUCAGGACGCAGUGCUUCUUUAGAUGUAUUUCUUCGGAUACUAAUCCCCACUAAAAGUCAGGAAUGACUUCUAGUCUGCCUAUUAUAUGUAUAAAAUAUGGAAGGAACUAACGGUUUAGUUCUGCAAAUUCUAUACAGAAAGUGAAAGAACAAACUAGAUCAAGGAUAACCUGUGAUGGACUAUUAUUUUUAAUACUAUCAGCCUGUACUCAUGAAAUACAAUGCAAGGAAAUAAGCGCAUACAAGUUGUCCCUAUAUAAGGUACUCUUUUGCCCAUUCCACUAUAAUUAGUUACUCUUUCAGCAAUUUCAAUAUAAAUUAGUGUGUUUUGCCCAAUAUGAUGUACCUAGAACAAUAUACAUCCUAUUGAUUUGCAACCAUCCAUUUCUGGGUCUAGAGUUUAAACCAUCUCUUUUUGUUCAUUGUCCAGAAAAUAUUUACUCAUUGUUGAACAAUAACGUAAUGACUGCCAUAGUAAGAAUUUGAACAACAGUGUGCAUGUGCAGGUAAGGUCCCACCGAUGACAAUAUUUGACUUCGUUGUAUUUGUUCCUCUCCUGGGACAUCGUAGCAGACUUGAGAACCAAACUGAAGGGGGACGCCAUGGAGAAAGUCGAGUUCGUGGAGCAAGUCAUGGACGAUGCCAUGGAAGAUUCAAACUAUAUAUGGAUCAUUAUAUGGAUAUGUGGCAAGUACACUGCAAUGUGAUGAUGAUGAUGUUCCAAUUCAUGAUGAUGAUGAUGAUGAUGAUGAUGAUGCUCCAGUUCAUGAUGAUUAUGAUGAUGAUGUUCCAGUUCAUGAUGAUGAUGAUGAUAGAUGCUUUCAGUUUUAGUUAAGUUGUAGGGAUGGUGUUCCUAAUCAAUGAUGUUCCCCGUUAAGUCUUAGUUAAAUUUUAGGGAUGUUGAUGGAUGCUUUUAGUUUAAGUUUCAUUGUCAAG